rnacentral:lncRNA from 1 species
AGGGUUGGUACUCACGGUUCCUUUAAGGGCAUCCACUUCACAGGUGAGGGACUGCACCUGUCUCCGGUACUCAGUGGACUCCUGCUUUGCCUGGCGCAGGGCGUCAUUGUUCCGGUUGGCAGCCUCAGAGAGGUUCUUGGCAGCCACACUUUCAUAUUGCUGACGUACGUCACGCAGGGCAGCCGUGAGGUCAGGCUUGGAAACAUCCACAUCGAUUUGGACAUGCUGUUCCUGAAUCUGAGCCUGCAGCUCCUGGAUUUCCUGCAAAAAGAACAGACAGACGGUCAGCUCUGCCAACCGUGGGGGCUGCCUUACCCUCAUUCAUUCCCCGAAAGUCACUCCACUAACCUCUUCGUGGAGUUUCUUCAAAAAGGCAAUCUCUUCUUGCAAAGAUUCCACUUUGCGUUCAAGGUCAAGACGUGCCAGAGACGCAUUGUCAACAUCCUAUUUUGAACAGAGAAAAGACAGGACAUGGAGGAUGUAAAAGUGUAUGGCUUAUCUCAUUUAUUUGUCUUAGAUUAACCAUCUGAACCUAGUCUCCUUACUAUAGAAAAGCCGUUGACACAUUUUAUGACCCUGGAAUAGGUUUAUAAAUCAUUCAGUGCUAUAAUAUGCUGUGCUUUCUCCUGCUCACUAAUAUAUUUUAAUUGUGACUGCUUGUGUUUUACUCAAGGUGGUGAUCAGACAAUUUUAAAAUAAAUAAAUG